UACGGAGGGUGCAAGCGUUAUCCGGAUUCACUGGGUUUAAAGGGUGCGUAGGUGGCUUGGUAAGUCAGUGGUGAAAGCCCGGAGCUCAACUCCGGAACUGCCAUUGAUACUGCUCAGCUUGAAUCAGGUCGAGGUGGAUGGAAUAUUACAUGUAGCGGUGAAAUGCUUAGAUAUGUAAUAGAACACCGAUUGCGAAGGCAGUUCACUAGGCCUGUAUUGACACUGAGGCACGAAAGCGUGGGGAUCAAACAGG
rnacentral:rRNA from 1 species